AGACUGGUAGUGGCAGUAGUGCAAAUCCACAGCUCAGCAUUUUGCCUCCCAUGGCGUCCUCCACCGCCAUUGCCCUUGCUCUCCUCGGCAUUGUGCUUCUUCUUCCCGGCAAUGCCUUCGUCGUGGUCGCCUACCCACGCGGCGGCGGCGGCGGGGACUACAGGAUGCAGUUCUUGGGGCAGCAGAACGCGGCGAGGGCGGCGAUGGGGUUGCCGGCGCUGGUGUGGGACGAGCGGGUGGCCGGGUACGCGCGGUGGUACGCGGAGUCGCGGCGCGGCGACUGCGCGCUGGUGCACUCGUCGGGGCCGUACGGGGAGAACCUGUUCUGGGGGAGCGGCACGGGUUGGUCGCCGGCGCAGGCCGUGGGCGCGUGGCUCGCCGAGCAGCCGCGGUACAACUACUGGAGCAACAGCUGCUACGGCGGCAUGUGCGGGCACUACACCCAGAUCAUGUGGCGCGCCACGCGCCGCGUCGGCUGCGCCAUGGUCGCCUGCUACAACGGCAGGGGCACCUUCAUCACCUGCAACUACGACCCGCCCGGCAACUACGUCGGCAUGCGCCCCUACUGACUACCCGCCCACCCACCCUCCGCCGCCGCUGCCGUCGCCGGUGAUGGUGACGGUGACCGAUUCUUUCCUUGGUCCGCUCUGCCGGCCGGGAGCACCGCGGCACACGGCAGGGCGACGCAGCGCAGCAACCAACCAAUCUUGCUGUCUCAUUCAUUGCCAUAUGAUGAUGAUGAUGAUGUUACAAGAGUACUACAACUGUACAAAAUAAUUCUUUCUUUCUACUGCACGCUGCAACAUCUUUUUUUUUUUGCUUUUUUACCUUUUUUCCUACCAAAAUAUAUAUUAUGAUGUUAUUGGUAGGAUCGGGGAAACUACAAUGAAAUAUGAUCAGCUAAUUGAUUGGUCUGUUAUUACUCUGUUCUGUCC
rnacentral:lncRNA from 1 species